GGGCUCCGCGCGGCUGAGGCCCUGCCGGGUCGGGUGGGCUCGUGUCCGCGGACGGGAGCGGGGAGUCCUCCCCUCCCCCAGCGCCGUGCGCCCGCCGCGUCCCGGCCCGCAGGGCGGGCUCUCGGUCGGGACUCGGGAGGCGCGGCGCGGCCGGGGCGGGGCUGCGGGCGGCGGGAGGGCUGCGCCCCCCGAGCGUUCGCGGGGAGCGCGGGGCGCCUGGGAGCAGCGCGCGCAGCUCUCCGGGGAACGAAAGGGUGGUCUGGGGACGUUGUGUCCGGGGCUCGUGCUGACCCCUGUGUAGGGGGCUUUCGGAAGACCCCGUUUCCUUCGUCUGGGCUUUCGCAUCACCCUCACGACAAGCCUCCUUGUCGGUGUAAACGUGCCGUUGUGCACAGUGGAAGGCAGCUCCUGGCGGCGGCAUGGUAGACCCCAGGGCACCAGCCGGCGGGUGGGAGAGGUAGGGUGCCAAUACGAAUAGGUUUCACUCCCUGCGUCUGGCUCUGCCUCGUCUCCUCCGUGCCCCAAACCCGACGCGGCAGCCCUCGGAGCCCUUAGUAGAGUGUCCUCUCCCCCACAUUCCCGGAGGGGUGAUUGUGGAGUGCACGCGGACAGAAUCUCAGCGCGCGGGAAAUGUGUGCUGGGAUUUGUGGCUUCUCUCCAGAGCCCCUGGGUCAGACGGCGGCUCUUGACCCUGCCUCGCCGUCCAGGCCGUCUCCGUCCUCAAAGACACCGUCUGGUACCUAAUGGAGUGCUGGCCAAGAGAAAGGCAGGAAAGGGAGUCUCAGGAACACUGCCACUUGGAAGAACAGCCUUUCUGACAGACCCCUCACCGGAGCUUCAGAGCAGAGGCGGAAGGUUCCAGACGGGAGCAGGUCCAGAUUUGUUCCACCAGAAGCAGUUCUUGAUCCCUGUAUAGCAUGAAUCAGACUGGAUGAUGUCACCACGUCCAGAAGCCAUCACAGACUGUGUGACAGUGGACACUGUGGACCAGCUUGCAGAAGGUGGUAACCGGGCGUUGAGAGGGGUGGGUGACUGUCAGGCUGCCCAGGAAAAGGCAGCUCACUGGAUGGCUGGUGAGGACAUGGUGUCCGGGGAAGGUGUACCCAGCCAGUGCUGACAAAAUCCUCAACAGCACCCUGUUUCCUUCACUCUGCCCUCACUCUUCAGAUUCCGAGCUGCCCUCACACCAUGUUCAUCAGCACGUGUGGCGUCUAGAGUUAUGCCGAUGCUGCCUCUUUCCUGAACGUAGAGAAUAACGAAAUGAUAGUAGAAGAAGGGUUUUCUACACUGGGCGCCUUUGGAAGCCCAAAACUAUCAGGCCUGAAAUGAAUGGUUUUUGUAGAGUCAGCCAGGACAGAACCAAGAACUAAGCGUGGUGCUGCUGACUUACACGCGUCUGAACCUUCACAGUUCUUUACAUGCUUCCAGGAGUAGCAGAAAAUGAACAUAGCUCAGGGAUCAGUGUCAUUUGAAGACGUGGCUGUGGAGCUCACCCAGGAGGAGUGGCGGCAGAUGGACUCUGCGCAGAGGGCCCUGUACAGGGAUGUGAUGCUGGAGAACUACAGCCACCUCGUCUCCGUGGGGUACUGCAUUACUAAACCCAAGGUGAUUUUCAAGUUGGAGCAAGGAGAAGAGCCCUGGUCCUUAGAGGAAGAAUGCCUAAACCAGAGGUACCCAGGUGAGUGAGCCCUGGCAGAAACACCUGGGUAGUUAGACCUUAGAAGGGAACACUUUUGAAAGUUUUUUUUUUUUUCCUUUUAAACAGCUUUAUUGAGAUAUAAUUCACAUGUCAUACAAUUCAUCCAUUUAAAGUACACAAUUCGAUGGGUUUUAAUAUAUUCACAGAUAGGUGUAAACAUCACCACAGUCAAUUUUCAUCACCUCAAAAAGAAACUCCAUACCCUUUAGCUAUCACUUCCCUGUCUCCCUGUCGCCUCCAGCCCUGGCAACCACUAGUCACUUUCUGUCUCUAUAGAUUUGCCUAUUCUGGACAUUUCAUAUAAAUGGAAUCACACAUUAUGUGGUCUUUUGUGUUGGGUUUCUUUCACUUAGGAUUACAAGGUUCAUAUUGUAGCAUGUAUCAGUACUUCAUGCUUUGUAUGGCAAAACAAUUUCCUUGUGUGGGUGUACCACAUUUGUGUGUCCAUUCAUCAGUCAGUGGACGUUUGGGAUUCCACCUUUUGGCUAUUAUUGAGUAAUGCUGAUAUAAACAUACAUUUACAAAUUUUUGCGUGGACGUAUGCUUUUAUUUCUCUUGAGUUUAUAUCUAGGCAUGGAAUUGAUGCGUUAUAUGGUAACUCUGUUUGGGGAACUGCCAGACUGUUUUCCAAAGCGGCUGCACCAUUUUACAUUCCUAAUGACAGCAUACAAGAGUUUUGAUUUCUCCACAUCUUCACCAACACUUGUUGUUAUCUGACUUUUUGAUUCUUGCCGUCCUAGAGGAUGUGA